GGCAAGGUGACCGAGUAAGGUGGCGAAUUGUAGCUUCGUGUACGGAGGACCCCUCCCCUCCCCUUGUCU
rnacentral:tRNA from 1 species